AGCUAAUAAGCUCAGCCAUUGGCAGAGUCAUUUUGCACUGCAAACUUCAUUACAGUGAUUCCAGAGAUAGUACUUAAAAAUGAACUUUGGAUAAUGUUCCAAUUGAGAGUUUUCUGUACUCAAGAAAUGUACCACAACAGCACAGACUGGGGUUAGACAAGAAGGAGCAGAGGGGCACCAGAAGAAGCCUAGGAAACUUAGAGCAUUGCAAGAAAGAGAGGAAUCUAGACUGCCAAACAGCCUGUCCUCUUAGCUGUGCUUGUCAAAAGGUUUUUACCUCAGAAUCCCAGGGUAUAUCUUGGUUAUAAACAACUAGUAUAUGUCUAAGUUAACAGCUUAGUAACCUGAGUACAGUUAUGUAGCAGAAGUUUUAAUCAUUUUCCACAUUUUCUUUUUUUGUCGUCUUAAGGAUUUCUGGACUGGGUGAAUCUUAUCUGCAUUUGGCAAUCAUGAUUCUGAGACUGAAAUUGUGUAACUCUGGAAUUUUAGAGGUGACUGCGUGACAAUUCUGAGAGGCCAAUGCCAAUGAGAGAAAAGUUUACUGCUACUCAUGAUGGCGCCCCUGGAAGCAGAAGACACAGCACGCUAUAGAGGGCCAUGUGGGAAAGCACUGGAGUAGCUCCAGGCCGGGCUUGCCAGUCUCUCUGCACUCUGGAAGGAGUUUGCCUGGGUUGGGGUUGUCCCUUGGUAGAUUCCAAACCUUCAUUUUGUCAAUUUACUUAAAGGUGACUGGGUUUAAAGGGGCUGACUGAUUGUAAAUAACUUGGAGAAUAAAUCAAUAUUCAUUAAUAAAGUUAAAUAAUUCACGUAAAAUUAAAG
rnacentral:lncRNA from 1 species